CUAAGUCUCUACAAACAACAUCAGUAUCCACAAAGCUUGCAGAAGGACAAAUGACUUUGGGAAAAAGGAAAGCUCAAGCAAGCAGAGUUAAACCUGCAAUGUCACAGGAAGUCAAAUAUAUAUGCAAAAGCAGACCUGCAGCUUCAAACGGCUGACAAGCCUUGAGUGGAGGCCUAGAACACCAGAUAAAGUCAGAGAAAAAGCAGCACAGCACAGAGAGACAGUGCUUCUUCUAUACACAUCCUGGUUCCAAUUAAGGAGGUGGCUGUCAAUAUUACCAACUCAAGCUUUUGGACCAUGACAU